UUUUUUCUUAUAAAACUACUUAAAUGAAUCUACUUUUGCCUGACAAAGUAGAGGAAUCUAAAGCUCCUGGAUUUUAAAAGCUUCCAUUAAAGCAGCUUUUCUUUUUUCAAAAAAAUAAUGAAUUGAAAAAUAAAUUGGAAGGCUUAAUUAAGCCCAAGGCCAACAGGAGACAGCCAGGACGAGGCUCCUUGACAAGUCCAGAAACCAGAGCAGGGCUGUGUCUCCUGCUUUUCUUAUUUCUGAAGCAGCUCCAAUCAAAGACAUGCCUUUGAAUCGUACGGAAUUAGAAUUCUGCUGUGUGUUUUCCAGGCGGUACAGUAUGUCUUCAUUGGUGCUAUAGCAGGCUCGUAAAUUAAGAUAAAAAGCUGGUGAGAUGGAGACAAGAACCUGUUCCUGGGAGGGAAGAGCAGGCAGUAGAGCAGCGCCCCAGAGUUCGUGGCUCCUGACACCCCACCCCCGGCUAACAUGGGCACCCCAUCUCCUCGGAUCUGCUGAACUAAAAGCCUGGACACUCUCAAGCCAGGCUUAAGCUGGCUGAUCUCAGAGAGGGAAAGGUCUGUGACCCAACCACGCACGUGUGCCACCCUCCCCAGGGUCUGCCUGGGACCAGCACCCAAGAAGGGGCAGACAGUGCCCUGGGUAGCCUAAACGGGUACCACUGGCCAGAGGCCACAAUAAACUGGCAGGGACGGCCAUGAGCUAGACACUGCAUGUGUGUGUGAACUUGCUUUGCCUUAAUUCAAGGGCAUAUUCAUCCCCUUGAAAACUUAUUCAGCACCGUUAACUAUAGCAGGCGCCAUCCUAAUACCAGAGGUACAACAGGGAGAAAGUUGGAGUGAAAAAGCCCUGCCUUUGUGCAAAACCUACAUCAACUGGAGGAGGCAAGCAGCAAUCAGAACCCCGAGAAACAAUCAGUGUGCUUAUGCCCAACUCCCCCAAAGGCAUCUGAGACCCUGUGAGCAGAGACCCUUGCCCUAGGGUAGGCUCUCUGCCCCUGUCUCAGGAUGCUGACAUAAAGCCUGGGCUCCAGACAAAGUAGACUAUUCAUUUGCCUCCAACUCCAUCCUUGCCUGCUCCCACGUUCACACUCCCUCUGUACCAGAGAGAGCGCCCUCUUUACCUCUCAAACAUCCUCCUCUACCCUCGGAACCCAAAUCCAGGCCACUUCCUCUGUGAGCCUCCCCAGUCCUCUCCCCCUACCCAUGCGCAGUCUCCAGCAUGGAGAGUGGAGCCUCGCCCAGCAUGGUUUGAGGCUCACACAGAAAUGCAACUCGAAAACUCAGGAUGAUAAAGAACAAUCUUCAGGGCAGGAAAUAGUUAGUGGAAGCUUCCAGGAAGAAGCUGCCCUGCGUCUCUGCUGGAAGAAGCUAAGUGGGACAAGGGAAGGGCAAAGUACUCCAGGGAGGGGCUGGGCCUGGCCCAACACUCCCAGGGGCCAGGCAGGGUGCUGGCCCCCCGGGGGCAGAAUUUCUCCCUUGUCGGGAUGGUGCUGCGCUGGGGAGGGUGACCCCAGCAAGGCUGGAGGAAUGGGGAGCACCAAAGUCAGGCAGCUCUGGGAGGUCUCUGCAGGCUCCCCAGCAGAGCACUGAGCAACCUAGUGGGGCCAGUAUGCAGCUGUGUGGGACUCACAGGUGUUGGGGGGGGCGGGCAAGGGAGAACUCAACCUCUGCAAGUAUCCAUGCAGGGCGAUGUGGCGUCCAGCAGCGGUGGCCAGAGCAAAGAUGAGGGCACAGAUCUAGAGGCCAGUGGAAGAAGGUGGCCCCCAAAUCCGAGCCCUCCUGUGUGGUCUUUGUCUCUGGGAAUGUUCACUCAGAGAAGGAAGGACAGCACUUGGGUCCUUUCAGACCUAAAGGACCUGAAACAUAAAAACGUGACUCACUCAAGGUCAGGGCACAUUGACCAUACCCUAGGGAAGUAAAGUCUGUAGCCCAGCGCUGGUCUUGCAGUAAAUGGGCUGGGUUCAAAUCCUGUUUCUGGGACUUUUCAGCAGUGUGCUUUGGGGCAGGCUACCUAUCCUUGCAAAGCCCAAGCUUCCUUCCCUGCAAAGCGGGAAGAGGGAGUUCCCUCUGUGGCUCAGCAGUAACGAACCCAACUAGUAUCCACGAGGACGCAGGAUCGAUCCCUGGCCUCACUCAGUGGGUUAAGGAUCUGGCACUGCCAUGAGCUGCGGUGUAGGUCGCAGAUGUAAUUUGGAUCCCACGUUGCUAUGGCUGUGGUGUAGGCUGGCAGCUGUAGCUCCAAUUCAACCCCUAGCCUGGGAACUUCCAUAUGGGGCAGGUGGGGUCCUAAACAAGACAAAAAAGAAAAAAACCUGGGAAGAGAAAUGCCCCCCAGUUGCCCGACUGGGUGUCGAGAAGAUGGUGACAGGCAGUGGGCCUGGCUGCAAGCUGGGGUCAAGUCUUCGGUUGAGAGGGAGGCAAAGGGGGGCAGAGGGGAGCUGGGAGGAAGCACCAGCCUGGAAAACAGGUCGCUGAGGAGGGCGACCUAAGUGACCCUCCCAGGGGCGACACCCCCUCCCCCACCCCCACCCCUACCCCCGCUGAGGGAGAGCGCCUCUCCCAGCCAGUCUCCAAGUGUAAAUCCCCAACUCCUCUACUGUGGCAGCAGAAACACCAAGGUUAUUUCGCAAAGCACUGAGAAAUGUUAACUCCCUGGGGCUCUUUAUGCAAAGACAGACUCGAAACAAGAGGAUCCGGUGGCCCCGGGAGACUGACAGGAAGAGAGACGCACGUUAAUAUUUCAUUAGCGUCCCAUUAGCAAGAUAACACGCGUCUUCACACUUGGUGACUCCUUGGGAAGAACGUCUCAUUCAAAAACAAAUGGGGGCCUCCGCUGCUGCCUACCCCCGCUGGCCUGCUAAGCAUCUCGGAGCAGCCUGUUGGGAAAGGACUUGACCUUCAGGGUUACGACUGCCCAAGCCCAUGCACUCAAGAGUGUGAGACCUCCUAAGAGGCCCCUACAAGACCUGCCAAGUAAUUGAGCCAGAAAAUCCAGGAGGCCCAGGCUUUCCUAUGCUUCUCAAGCCAGGCUCAGACCCCCCAGGCCUGUCGCGGUGGAGCCACCCAGCAAUGAGGGGGUGCCGAACCCCUGGCCCUUCGGUUACAGCUACAGUGGGAGGCCAGGCAGGGGGUGGGCAGGGGUCAAAGAGACACAGGGGGCAGGGCGCCCUAAGCUACCACUGGGCAACUCGUCAUCACAUUCUUUGGCUCAGCAAACCUGUACCAGCCACCUAGUGUGUGCCAGGAACGAACUUGAGGCAGGCAAGGGCAGGACGCUCACGGAGAGAAAUGAAGUCAAGGAUUUACGUUUCACCGCAGACCCUAGAGUCUCAGAGCUGCCCCUGUUCAGUGAUGAAAGCAGCGCGGCACAGACGGCCUGUUCUUACCGCUGGAGGCAGGGCUGGUGAGGGGAGGGCUCUGGAGGCUGGACUCACUCUGCCCUGGGUCGGGGGGUAUCCCUCCGUAAGUGCGCCUUAGAGAGUAUUUAGAGAUGACAAAACUCAUCUUUGCAGCAAAGAUGCUGCAAAUGGGCUUUGCUUCCGGGCUCUCAGACUUGGUAUAAACGUCUCAUUUUCUGGAUGGGCAGAAAAUGAGGAUCACUGCUCUCCCCCUCCCCCUCCUCCUCAUCCCCACCAGGGCACAUGCAGCCAAAGGAAAUGACAGCAGGCGGCACCCUCUCAGCUCAAAGGAGCCACCUUCAUACAGCGGCCCCCUGGGACCUGAACCUCCUCUGGGGACCACCCUACAGACUGCGUUUCCUGGCCGCGAGCAAAAGCCAUCACCACGUCGGAAGAGCAGGGGGCACUGGCCUCCAGGGACGCCCUCCGAGAUUCCCUCUAAUUCGGCCGAUUAAUUUAAAGAGAGGAAGCUGGCCAGGAGCGGGAGGCACAGGGGACGUCUGGGAGGAUGUAAUUACUGCAGCUGCUCCAAACGGAAGGCAACGCCUGGCUCCUCCUUAGCAGGUGCACGGCAAUUUAGGAGGACAUCCUGGAGGACCGCGAUGGCGACACGCAGCUCCCUUUUAGGGCCGCGCCACGCCCGCCACCUCAGUGUCUUCACUGAUGAGUAGUUACAAACGAAGCCCUCCCAGCAGAAGCUGCUGGAAGCCCAGUGAGGGGCGCAGGGCCUGGAAAGGCUGGCGGCCCAGGGACUGGCACACUCUGGACUCUGCAGCCACGGGUCCCCACGCAGAGACCCGCCAGGUGACAGGAGAGCACAGCUCCUGCCGCCCGAUUAGAGAUGCAGUGGGGGUUCCUGUUCGCCAAGCGCAGUAAACACAGAAGGCACGAGAUGGAUGGCGAGGACGGAGUGACCUUCCCAAAUCAUGACCCACUGGAGGGGCAGAAGGAGAGCAGAGGGCUGCUUCCCAACAGCUGGAGUUCACAUCCAGUCAUUCCCGACAUUCUCCCUUCCAGGAGAACCUCCCCCCAAAACUGCACUGGCUUCCUCUUGCGAGCCUCAAAUGGGGCAGAAACACUCCUGUGGAGGGGCUAACCCUGCAGAGCUUCACCCCAGCCUGGCGAGGAAGAGACACACGUAGACUUGGGGCCACCCAGGUGACGCAGAAGCUGGAAGAUAACUGGCGAGGAAGAAGAAGAAGAAGAAGUGGCUACAUGGGUGUUUUGAGCUUAUAACCUUUCUUUCUUUCUCUCUCUUUCCCUGCAGGUCACCCGGGCGAAGCCCCUGGCGGCUCUGGAAUCACCUGGAUGCUGAACUUUCAUUACGCCCCAGCAGGAGGAGAAUACACAACGUGCACCUUCGAGCUCUGAGCAGCCACCCGGGCCCAAAAGAGGCUGCCCUGCCUCAGCGCACCUGCUCCACCGAGAAGUUAAGGGGCUGUGCCCAGACCCCAAGGCCGGUCAAUAGGCAGGUAAAGCCGAGAGCUGGAAGGGGCAGCUGCAGGCCCUGGGACGACACGUUGUGAGAAGGGCCCAUGGAUCUGGGGGUUGGUGAGCUGGACAAGAUUGGCUGCUCAGAGCUCGAUCGGGGUGGGGCCACCCCCAGAGGGAGCCGCCAAGGCAGAGGCAGGAAACCUUCCUUAGCGCCAGGGUAACCGCUGAAGGGGGAAAUUCAAAAGUUACCACCCUCUCUCGAGAGCUGAGCCCGAAGGAGGAGACCCGGAAUGUUCAUUUUGGGGAGGUUUUCACAAGUCUUUUGGUGCGCAGGCAUCCAUUUCACCCGGGUCACGUUCGAGAUGGAGACCAGCCCAAGGCGGCAGGUGGGUGCACCCAGGCCUCACCCGUCAUGGAGGUGCCUCCCGUGGGCCACCCCGACGGCCACCCUGGGAUCCACGUGGCAAACCAAUAGCACCCCACCAGCUCCCUGGACCACGAGAGCCUUCUCUACCCCACCCCCACCCCCGACUCCUGCACACAAGUACACCUCUGCAGGUGCACCUCGUUCCUUAGCAGUGUCAACUGGCCCAAGGGUCUGCUCUAGGGCCCACCUCAGGGUAGAGACCCCACUCACCUGGGAACUACGCCCCCUGCUGGAGAGGCCCCGAGGCCCAGCAGCCCUCAGAUAGGUCCUUUCUGGCUGUGAAUGUCCAGAUGACACCUGUUCCCAGCCCGCCCCAAGGGGCCAGCAGCAUUUCUAUGAUUUUGCUUAGGAAGAACAGUUCGUAGUUUGUUGGGGUUUUAUUUUAUUUAAUUUAUUUAUUUAUUGUCUUUUUUGCCUUUUCUAGGGCCGCUCCAGCGGCAUAUGGAAGUUCCCAGGCUAGGGGUCUAAUCGGAGCCGUAGCCGCCGGCCUACGCCAGAGCCACAGCAACGCAGGAUCUGUGAUGCGUCUGCAACCUACACCACAGCUCACGGCAACGCCGGAUCCUUAACCCACUGAGCAAGGGCAGGGAUCGAACCCGCAACCUCUUGGUUCCUAGUCGGAUUGGUUAACCACUAAGCCACGACAGGAACUCCAGUUUGUUGGGUUUUUUCCCAAAUGCAGCUGGAACAGGGAGGCAAAACUGACCUUUCACGUGUAUUUUGGAUUAAUUCAGAAAUACUCUGUCCAAAUAAAGAGUAUCAGGUGAUUGUACUUCAUGGGUCCUUUCAUCUAAAUUAUUAAAAAUCCCAAGGAUUCUCCGGUCCACAUAUAACACUUCCAAUGACCAAAGCAGACAAAUAAGUUUUCUCUCUAAAGGCGAGAAAACCCUCGUUUCUUGGAGAGAAAAAGAGAACGUGGCAGGUCAGCCUGCUGAAUCCUACCUGUCUCCAUCGAAAAAAACAGAAAAAGGAUUAGGAUAUAAGAUGACCAGGACCCUUGUGGUUAUUAUUGUACGUCAUUGUGUUGUUCUUUGAUACGAUACCUUCUAAUUAAAUUUAAAUUGAUCGAAUAGUUUCAGCAGUGACUUCUCAAUACUCAUGUGUGAUUCUGAUGAUGCUGGAAUCUGGUGGAAUUCUCAUUGCACAUUC
rnacentral:lncRNA from 1 species